ACUGACAGCCAUACCACCCUGAACAUGCCCGAUCUUGUCUGAUCUUGCUAAGCAGGGUCGGGCCUGGUUUGUAUUUGGAUGGGAGACCGCCUGGGAACACCAGGUGCUGUAAGUG
ensembl:rRNA 5S_rRNA 5S ribosomal RNA